rnacentral:rRNA from 1 species
CUACGGGCGGCAGCAGUCGAGGAUCUUUUGCAAUGCCCGAAAGGGUGACGAAGCGACGCCGCGUGUGGGAAGAAGGCCUUCGGGUUGUAAACCACUGUCAGGAGUUAAGAAAUGUAAGGGUGUAAAUAGCAUCCUUGCUUGACUAAGGCUCCAGAGGAAGCCACGGCUAACUCUGUGCCAGCAGCCGCGGUAAUACAGAGGUGGCAAGCGUUGUUCGGAAUUAUUGGGCGUAAAGAGCACGUAGGCGGCUCUGCAAGUCAGCUGUGAAAGCCUUCUGCUUAACGGAAGAACAGCAGUUGAUACUACAGGGCUUGAGUGCGGGAGGGGAGAGUGGAACUUCUGGUGGAGCGGUGAAAUGCGUAGAUAUCAGAAGGAACGCCGGCGGCGAAAGCGACUCUCUGGCCCGUAACUGACGCUGAGUGUGCGAAAGCUAGGGGAGCAAACGGGAUUAGAUACCCCCGUAGUC